GGGCCGGUAGCUUAGUUCGGCAGAGCGACAGACUCUUAAUCUGUAGGUCGGGGGUUCGAAUCCCUCUCGGCCCG
rnacentral:tRNA from 1 species